CCUGGGUAUUGAAUGACCCCUGCUCUUCUUCCCCCACCUCGCAAGGGUUAAUCAGCCUUCCUGCAGAGCGGCUGGGCGGCUCGGAAGGAGGCAGCGAAGCGGCCUGGCGGCAGGCUGCUUUCAUUACUUUGAUGGGAUACAUGUGCUUGGCUUUAUCUCCGGCCCUUUCUCUGUAAUUCAGCGCUUGAACGUCUCAGCUGUCGGCCGAUCUGCAGACAAUUGCUUGGGGACACAGCACAGGGAACGUGCAUGAGGUCGCGCUGUCCUGAAGGCCGUGGCCAAGGGUUCCUGAAACGCAGAGGAAGUAGCCUGGCUUCACAGAGGCAGACACUGCUGUCCUUGUGGGUCACAGUUCUGGAUCAACAGUCCCAGAAAGAGAGCCAGGUAGGACAAGGGUCAUCAAGAGCUGAGAUGGUUCAGAAUCUGGAAAGCUCACUGCUCCCCUUGGCUUCUUCGACACCCCUACCCUUCUCUAGGCCUCCUUCCAGUCUCCGUGGUUCACCUGCUUCCAAAACCAUGGCCUUGACGCACACGAACACAGACCCAAGCUGAGAUGCUCAAACAUCACUCCUGAGACCCAGAAACAGGUAGAAGGAAGUUGGACCAGGACCUAGGACUGUGCAGUCAAUGCCCCCACCGCACAGCAGACCCUCACUCCCAAUACUUUGGCUCCCGGCACCCAUUCUCUUCUCCAGGAAGCUCAUGGCCUCUCUCUUGCUAGGUCUCCUGGAGUUUCCUGGCUGGACACGAUGUUCAGAUAAACCAAAAGCCUUUACAUACAACCAACAUUGCAGAAGCCUCUGGAAUCCUCACCUGCUGUGUUCUUAGCCAUCAGAGGCAGCAGCUAGGUCAUUUGUGAGCUGGGUUGAGGCUGGGACAACAGGGAACCUGGGGACUGUUAGGAAGCGAGAACAUGUCUGCUUCUUUUAUGACCUCCAAUAUUAGUCACCAGGAAGCUGCCCCAUGAAGCACACGACCUCGUAUCACUAACUCGGCUUGAAUUAAUUAAGGAGACUCGUAUGGGGAUAAUUAGAGACCUUUCUGUUGAUGACAUCUCAUCUCCUGGUGGUGGAAUUGGCUUCUGCAUCCUCUGGCAUUUCCUUAGGUCCCCACAGAUACUGCUAACAGGUUCUGUUUUUCCAAAGUACCUUAGCUCUAUGGCAGGACGGGGUUAGUGAGUCCACUGAUUAUGGCACAUGGACUCCGGGGAUGAAGGGAGGAUAGGGAGAUGGCUUCUGUUUCCAUCUGCCUUGCCUUACUUCCUUAUUUUCUUCAUGAUUUCAGUUCUUUGUUUUUAAACCUCACCGACAUCAAGACCACUAAUUUCCCAAACAUUCAAGGGAGCACCAUGUUAAAACUUCUACUCUAGGGCUGGAGAGAUGGCUCAAUGGUU
rnacentral:sRNA from 1 species